rnacentral:misc_RNA from 1 species
CCGAGUUUACAACUCCCAAACCCCUGUGAACAUACCACGUUUGUUGCUUCGGCGGACCACCCCCGACUCGCCUCGGGGGCCCGCCAGAGGACCCAAAUCCAACUGUAUUUUGUUUUUUACAUUUUUGAAACGUCAUUCUGAGUGGAUUUAUCUAAAUCAAAUCA